UACGUAGGGGGCAAGCGUUGUCCGGAAUCAUUGGACGUAAAGAGCGUGUAGGCGGCUUGGUAAGUCCGCUGUGAAAGUCCAGGGCUCAACCCUGGAAAGCCGGUGGAAACUGUCGAGCUCGAGUCCGGAAGAGGCGAGUGGAAUUCCUGGUGUAGCGGUGAAAUGCGCAGAUAUCAGGAGGAACACCGAUGGCGAAGGCAGCUCGCUGGGACGGUACUGACGCUGAGGCGCGAAAGCGUGGGGAGCAAACAGG
rnacentral:rRNA from 1 species